rnacentral:rRNA from 1 species
UUUAAUAUAAAAUUUUACUGGAGUAGUAAAAGUUACAAUCUUUAAACUUAAAAAAUUUGGCGGUAUUUUAUCUUAUUAGAGGAACCUGCUUAUUAAUUGAUAUUCCACAACUAUAAUUUACUUUUAUUAUGUCACCUGUAUGCCGCCGUCAUGAGCGCACUCGAAAGUCUAUUUUCUUUUAUUUUUAUUAAAUUUAUGUUAGGUCAAGGUGCAGUAUUUGAAAGCUUAAUGUGGGUUACUUUAUUGAAUAUGAAUGAAUUAAUAUAAUUGUUUAAUUAUGAAAAAGGAUUUAAAAGUAAAGUUAUUAUAGAAAUAAUAUGAAUUAAGAUUCUAAAAUAUGU